UACAGAGGUCUCGAGCGUUGUUCGGAUUCAUUGGGCGUAAAGGGCGCGUAGGCGGCGGGGUAAGUGGGGUGUGAAAUCCCGGGGCUUAACCCCGGGACUGCAUUCCAUACUGCGGUGCUUGAGGACUGGAGAGGAGACUGGAAUUUACGGUGUAGCGGUGAAAUGCGUAGAUAUCGUAAGGAAGACCAGUGGCGAAGGCGGGUCUCUGGACAGUUCCUGGACGCUGAGGCACGAAGGUCAGGGGAGCAAACGGG
rnacentral:rRNA from 1 species